rnacentral:lncRNA from 1 species
ACACACCUUAUGCAUCUGAGAGGCCAGGAAUAACCUGGUACUGAAGCCAGGCAUAGAAUUGACAGGAGAAGGAAAUUCUAGAUCAUUAUUCCUUAUGAAUCCUGGUGCAGAAACGUUCACAAUGAUAGCAAGUGCAAUUCAGCAACUUAUUAAAGUGACUGUAUAAUAUGACCAAGUACAGUUUAUUCUAGCAACACAGGAAUAGCUCAACAUGUGAGCAUCAAUCAAUAAACCACAUAAGCAGACUGAAGUAGAGGGGGAAUAUCAUCAUCUCUGCUAAAGUAGAAGAAGUGUUUGAAAACAUUCAACACCUUAAGAAGAAAAAAAUUACGGUUAACAAAGUUGAACUAGAAGGAAACUACCUCAACAAAGAUAUUACAUGAAAAGCCACAGAUAACACCAUACUUAGUAGUAAAAGCUUGUUUGGUAAAAUUGGCAAAAUGUUCAGGAUGCCUGCUUUCCCCUUCC